UACGUAGGGUGCAAGCGUUGUCCGGAAUUAUUGGGCGUAAAGAGCUCGUAGGCGGUCUGUCGCGUCGGCUGUGAAACCCGGAGCUCAACUCCGGGCCUGCAGUCGAUACGGGCAGACUGGAGUUCGGCAGGGGAGACUGGAAUUCCUGGUGUAGCGGUGAAAUGCGCAGAUAUCAGGAGGAACACCGGUGGCGAAGGCGGGUCUCUGGGCCGAUACUGACGCUGAGGAGCGAAAGCGUGGGGAGCGAACAGG
rnacentral:rRNA from 1 species